ensembl:lncRNA
GGUGGGGCAGCCUUGGACGACCCCGGAGCCCCAUCCCCGAAAUGAGUGGCGCUGCCGGAGGCGAGCCGGAAGUGAGGGGCGUGGCCGCACCUAGGGCCACGCCCACAGCGGAGCAGCUCAGGUUACACCUCGAGGGCGGCCGGAAGUGGCUAUUUUGGACGGGUCUCUGCCGGAAGUGGUGGUUCCUGGGGCUUUGCCACCUGGCUGCGAAUACCGCCCUGUCCGGCCGAGGGUCUCGGAGAGGGUCAUCUCACACCUACCUCGGCGGCGUGGCUAUGCCACGUGCCCGCUCCCAUCCCACAGACUUUAUCCAGGCCCAGGGGCCAGCGCUGGGACUAAUAGAGAUGGCCAUCCUUCCUUGGCCUGCCUCCUCUGAUUCACCACGGCGCAGCAGGGCUAGUACAUUGCGGGGAAGAGCUCCCUUCAGAGAAGAAACAAUGAACGCUAGAUACCCAGGAGCUGGUGGUCCAUCAUAGUGAUGCAAUCCUGCCAGGCAGGCCAUGUGAGGUCCUUCUGCCCUUGGCCAGAUCCUGAUUUUGCUCUAAAGGAGGAGCCCCUUGUACAGGAUCUCUUACACAGAGACAAUGAGCAAACCAUAUAUGCAAAUAAAUUUCUGACCCACCAUCUGCAUGAGCUGUCCAGAAAACCAAUGCCUUUAUCCAUGAUAAACGCCCUGGAAGCCAGCCUGCUGUCAGGCUCAGAAGAAACCACGUUCCUAUCUCUAGCAACAGUGCAGGAAGCGAAACAAUCACUUUUGUAACCAUCAGCCCAAUAUGGCCAGGACCUGAUGAUGAACUGCCAGCCUCCCCAAUUUUUGUCCCUCUUUCCAAUUUAGGACCAAUGAGAGAAAGUCAAAUAUGCCCCCCUAACUGAUCACAUGGGCUACCCCACUUUUAGUGAGCCCCCUUCCAGCUCCCCAAGUCAACAGUCUCCAGCCAGGGCAUACCUGACGGGUCUCCCCCACACCCAUGAAGCUUCCCCACUCCUCUGAGUGUCUGCCAGAUGGAAAUGAUGCUGACUGACCCCUUUGCUACACCCAGCUGUGAAUCAGUAGCCUCUGCUUGCUCUCCUUUGGGAGCUCCUUGUUUAUUUCCUCACAUUCCAUUCACCUCUGACCACAACAGAAGCAACCCUCCUUGGGAGUGGCAGAAUCUUCCCACACCCUUGCUCGCACCUGAACAAAGACAGCCCUGCCUGCACACCUGUGUGGAGGCCUAGCUUGCUGAAUGCCUUCCUGCACUCUAGAACAAAGAAGCCUUCAUCUUCCACUACCUGUGGGUUUUCUUCUGGCCAAGAGACACAUCUGCAGGCUAUGUUUUCUGGAAGUCAGACUCUGAGAUGCUGGAUUCGUGCGCAGGUGGUUGACUGAGGAGCGUUCCUGGGAUCAACACGUAUGGGGAAGUGGAGGGGGCACAGCUGGACGAAGGAAGAAGCUGAAAUGAGAUGCAGUCACAGCAAGGCCGCAGUUGAUUUUGCAGGGAACUGGGUGACCUGUUGUUGACCUUGGCUGCCCCAGGAAGGGGUCACGACCCUGAAGAGGCAGCUUUCAUUGUCCAGGAGAGGAAGUCCCCGGAGAGUGACCAGCCGCCCACACUCUAAGCAGGGCUGGGGGUCGGGGGUGCUUACGUCCCCGAGGAGGGGUGU